rnacentral:rRNA from 1 species
GUAGGUGGCAAGCGUUGUCCGGAAUUAUUGGGCGUAAAGCGCGCGCAGGCGGUUCUUUAAGUCUGAUGUGAAAGCCCACGGCUCAACCGUGGAGGGUCAUUGGAAACUGGAGAACUUGAGUACAGAAGAGGAAAGCGGAAUUCCACGUGUAGCGGUGAAAUGCGUAGAGAUGUGGAGGAACACCAGUGGCGAAGGCGGCUUUCUGGUCUGUAACUGACGCUGAGGCGCGAAAGCGUGGGGAGCAAACAGGAUUAGAUACCCGUGGUAGUCCACGCCGUAAACGAUGAGUGCUAAGUGUUAGGGGGUUUCCGCCCCCCUUAGUGCUGCAGCUAACGCAUUAAGCACUCCGCCUGGGAGUACGGCCGCAAGGCUG